rnacentral:rRNA from 1 species
CGCUAGCGGCAGGCUUAACACAUGCAAGUCGAGGGGUAUGGUAGCAAUACCAGAGACCGGCAAACGGGUGCGGAACACGUACAGAACCUACCUUGAUCUGGGGCAUAGCCCGGAGAAAUCCGGAUUAACUCCCCAUAAUAUAUAUGAGUGGCAUCACUUGCAUAUUAAAAAUUUAUUGGAUCGAGAUGGCUGUGCGUCCCAUUAGCUAGUUGGUAGGGUAACGGCCUACCAAGGCAACGAUGGGUAGCUGGUGUGAGAGCACGACCAGCCACACGGGCACUGAGACACGGGCCCGACUCCUACGGGAGGCAGCAGUGAGGAAUAUUGGUCAAUGGACGCAAGUCUGAACCAGCCAUGCCGCGUGAAGGAUGAAGGCCUUCUGGGUUGUAAACUUCUUUUACCUGGGAAGAAACCUCUUUUUUCUAAGAGAGUUGACGGUACCAGAGGAAUAAGCACCGGCUAACUCCGUGCCAGCAGCCGCGGUAAUACGGAGGGUGCAAGCGUUAUCCGGAUUUACUGGGUUUAAAGGGUGUGUAGGCGGGCUUUUAAGUCAGUGGUGAAAUCUCCGGGCUCAACCUGGAAACUGCCAUUGAUACUAUUAGUCUUGAAUUUUGUUGAGGUAGGCGGAAUAAGUCAUGUAGCGGUGAAAUGCUUAGAUAUGACUUAGAACACCAAUUGCGAAGGCAGCUUGCUAAACAAAUAUUGACGCUGAGGCACGAAAGCGUGGGGAUCAAACAGGAUUAGAUACCCUGGUAGUCCACGCCCUAAACGAUGAUUACUCGACAUACGCGAUACACAGUGUGUGUCUGAGCGAAAGCAUUAAGUAAUCCACC